CACCGCGGUUACACGAGUAACUCAAAUUAAUAUUACACGGCGUUAAGGGUGAUUAGAAAAAUCUUACCCCAAAUAAAGUUGAGACCCCAUCAAGCUGUCAUACGCACUCAUGCUCAAAAGUAUCACUAACGAAAGUAACUUUAUCACAACAGAAUUUUUGACCUCACGACAGUUAAGGCC
rnacentral:rRNA from 1 species